GCAUUCUCAUCCAGUCCAUUAAAGUGAUCUUUACCUUCAAAAUAUAAAAAAACUUGCUAAAAACCCACUCCAACCUAUCCACUAUAUCUAGACCUUAACCUUAAAUAUUAAAAAAAAAGCCACAGUAACUUUUUAUACAUAAAAAGCUACUGUAGCUCUCUAUUUCCAACAACCACAUCUCAUUUCAUCUUCUCCCGCCCCUCUCCUUUACACAUCGAUUACCAGCAACAAAUUCAACCAAACUACUGCACUUGCAAGGUUCGGAUUUGAGGGUUUCUAUUUGAAAACACUUCCGAUUUGUAAACAUUGGCGAUGAUACGGCUUCGGUCACACACAAAAACACACACUUGCUCGGUCCAGUCUACUCAUCAUCAGUCAUCGCAAGUAAUCGAGAGAUCCAAACACUUCGAAUAAGAUCCACACUUGUCGCAUUUCUAUUUCACCUGCCGCGGACCUUGAAUAUGUUCUGAAUUCCGUGAAGAAAGGUGCUGAAGUUGAAUUGUAAUGCAGGUGACGAGCUUGAACUUUCGGAAGCUAUUAGAGAUUAUCAUGAUAGUACUGGAUUGCCUCAUAUGGUGUAAACGAUGAUGACCUCCGUGAAACGGCUUAUGAAAUUCUGUUGGCUGCUGCUGGGGCUUCAUGGGGCCUUAUAGUGCCAUCAAAGGAAA